GGUAACGACGGGUAACGGGGAAUCAGGGUUCGAUUCCGGAGAGGGAGCCCGAGAAACGGCUACCACUUCCAAGGAAGGCAGCAGGCGCGCAACUUACCCUAAUCUCGAUUCGAGGAGGUAGUGACAAGAAAUACCGAUGCGGGACCCUACGGGUGCCGCGUUCGGAAUGAGUACGAUUCGAACCACCUAACGAGGAACGAUCGGAGGGCAAGUCUGGUGCCAGCAGCCGCGGUAAUUCCAGCUCCAAUAGCGUACGUUAAAGUUGCUGCAGUUAAAAAGCUCGUAGUUGAACGUUCGGGUUCCGCGGGACGGGGCCGCCCCGCGAGGGACGGCGCCGCCCCGGGGCUCGUGAUAUCUCAUCUCGCCGCCCGUCGCGAGGCGGACGGAGGGGAUGGGAUGAGGUUACCUGGAAAAAAUCGGGGCGAUCUAGGCGGGCGAACCUCGCCAACGAACGAUCGGACAU
rnacentral:rRNA from 1 species